ACCUCUGUGCCAGAGUCAACAGUCUCCAGGGUGGGCCGGAAGUUGUUGUAGGCGUUCUCAAGGCCGAAUCUGCUCUCCCUCAGAUUCUGGUCUGUAGGGAGAGGCCGUGAUGAGUGAUGGGAGCCUUGGUAGGGGGAGGACUAGGGGGCAGAGGGGAUUUCCUCUGGCAAAAGGAAGAGUCAGCCCGGCAUCUGCCCUACGCCCUUUCCCACUGCCGACCACCCCUCCGACCCUGCAUCACUGGGCUGCGGCUGGGAAAAGUGAGACCCAGACGCUCCAUCUCAGCUUCCCCAUGUGGUGCUGUGCUCUGUGGUGGCCAAGACUGCCAUGUUGCCAUGCUGUGAUGCAGCAAGAAAGUCCUCACCAGAUGCAGCCCCUUGAUCUUGGACUUCCCAGCCUCCAGAACUGUGAGCCAAAUAAACUUCUAUUGUUUAUCAAUUAC
ensembl:lncRNA MUC12-AS1 MUC12 antisense RNA 1